UCUGGUUGAUCCUGCCGGAGGUUACUGCUAUCGGUGUUCGAUUAAGCCAUGCGAGUCGAGAGGCGUCAAGGCCUCGGCGUACUGCUCAGUAACACGUGGACAACCUGCCCAAAGGUCCGGGAUAACCCCGGGAAACUGGGGAUAAUACCGGAUAAAUCAUGAGUACUGGAAGGUCUUGUGGUUGAAACUUCCGGGGCCUUUGGAUGGGUCUGCGGCUGAUUAGGUUGUUGCCGGUGUAACGUACCGUCAAGCCUGUAAUCAGUACGGGUUGUGGGAGCAAGAGCCCGGAGAUGGAUUCUGAGACACGAAUCCAGGCCCUACGGGGCGCAGCAGGCGCGAAAACUCUACAAUGCAGGCAACUGCGAUAGGGGAACAUCGAGUGAUACUCAUCUUGGGUGUCUGUCCUUCCGUCUAAAAAACGGGAGUUAGCAAGGGCCGGGCAAGACCGGUGCCAGCCGCCGCGGUAAUACCGGCGGCUCGAGUGGUAGCCGAUAUUAUUGAGUCUAAAGGGUCCGUAGCCGGCUUUGCAAGUCUUUUGGGAAAUCCAGCGGCUUAACCGUUGGUCGUCCGGGAGAUACUACAUUGCUUGGGACUGGGAGAGGUAAGAGGUACUCAGGGGGUAGGAGUGAAAUCCUGUAAUCCUUUGGGGACCACCGGUGGCGAAGGCGUCUUACCAGAACAGGUCCGACGGUGAGGGACGAAAGCUAGGGGCACGAACCGGAUUAGAUACCCGGGUAGUCCUAGCCGUAAACGAUGCUCGCUAGGUGUCACAACAAUCGUGAAUUGUUGUGGUGCCGUAGGGAAGCCGUGAAGCGAGCCACUUGGGAAGUACGACCGCAAGGUUGAAACUUAAAGGAAUUGGCGGGGGAGCAC
rnacentral:rRNA from 1 species